ACCUGGCUGGCUCAGUCAGAAGAGCAUGAGACUCUUAAUCUCUGGGGUCAUGAGUUCGAGCCCCAUGUUGGGUG
rnacentral:tRNA from 1 species